rnacentral:rRNA from 1 species
CCACGGUGGCUGCAGUGGGGAAUAUUGGACAAUGGGCGAAAGCCUGAUCCAGCCAUGCCGCGUGUGUGAAGAAGGCCUUCGGGUUGUAGAGCACUUUCAGUGGGGAAGAAAGCCUUGGGGCUAAUACCCUCGAGGAAGGACAUCACCCACAGAAGAAGCACCGGCUAACUCCGUGCCAGCAGCCGCGGUAAUACGGAGGGUGCGAGCGUUAAUCGGAAUUACUGGGCGUAAAGCGCGCGUAGGCGGUCUGAUAAGCCGGUUGUGAAAGCCCCGGGCUCAACCUGGGAACGGCAUCCGGAACUGUCAGGCUAGAGUGCAGGAGAGGAAGGUAGAAUUCCCGGUGUAGCGGUGAAAUGCGUAGAGAUCGGGAGGAAUACCAGUGGCGAAGGCGGCCUUCUGGACUGACACUGACGCUGAGGUGCGAAAGCGUGGGUAGCAAACAGGAUUAGAUACCCUAGUAGUC